CCCUUAGAUGUCCUGGGCUGCACGCGUGCUACACUGAACGGUUCAAUGGGUAAGGUAGUGCGAAAGCAUGACCUAAUCUCGAAAUCCGUUCGUGCUGGGGAUAGAAGCUUGCAAUUAUCCUUCUUGAACGAGGAAUACCUUGUAAGCGUGAGUCAUCAUCUCACGCUGAAUACGUCCCUGCCCUUUGUACACACCGCCCGUCGCUCCUACCGAUUGAGUGUUCCGGUGAGGCUUUGGGAGAAUGGCCUCAACAUGAGUUUAUCGUGUUUUGCCGUUUGAACUUAGUCAAACCUUAUCACUUAGAGGAAGGAGAAGUCGUAACA
rnacentral:rRNA from 1 species